GUGAAUCAUCGAAUCUUUGAACGCACAUUGCGCUCUCCGGUAUUCCGGUGAGCAUGCCUGUUUGAGAAUCGAUAAUCUCUCACAAUGCUGUUUGGACUUGGAUAACAUCUGACGAUGUGACCCUGAGUCCUUUGCAUGGUGGAUUUGGAACACUUGCUUUCACAGCAACGUUCUUAAAAUUAAUGUUUUGACCAUCUGCUUGCUAAGGCGACUUGGGUCUAUAUGAGUGCAUGAAUAGGUUAAGUCCUUUAUGAUUUCACUCGUUCUCAGGUUAAUUUCUUUGGCAAGUGUGGGCAACUC
rnacentral:misc_RNA from 1 species